GACGAACGCUGGCGGCAUGCCUAAUACAUGCAAGUCGAGCGAACAGAUGAGGUGCUUGCACUUCUGACGUUAGCGGCGAACGGGUGAGUAACACGUAAGGAAUCUACCUAUAAGCGGGGGAUAACAUUCGGAAACGGGUGCUAAUACCGCAUAAUAUCUUCUUCCGCAUGGAAGAAGAUUGAAAGACGGCUCUGCUGUCACUUAUAGAUGACCUUGCGGUGCAUUAGUUAGUUGGUGGGGUAACGGCCUACCAAGACGAGGAUGCAUAGCCGACCCGAAGGGGUGAUCGGCCACAUUGGGACUGAGACACGGCCCAAACUCCUACGGGAGGCAGCAGUAGGGAAUCUUCCGCAAUGGGCGAAAGCCUGACGGAGCAAUGCCGCGUGAGUGAAGAAGGCCUUCGGGUCGUAAAACUCUGUUAUAAGAGAAGAACAAAUUGUAGAGUAACUGCUACAGUCUUGACGGUAUCUUAUCAGAAAGCCACGGCUAACUACGUGCCAGCCGCCGCUGUAA
rnacentral:rRNA from 1 species